GAGUGGUACCACGGUUCGACACGUGAUCUUGCGAAACCAAUAAGCUAGCUGCUUUUUGUCAACAGAAUUGCAACAUGGCGGCCCCCACGGUUAGAUGUAUGUUUGUUUUAUGUCAGGUUUUUCAUAUGACUUUAAGACCUCAUUAAGUCUGAGGUAUUCGCUUUGUAUAGGUGGUAUUUGUGCGUUGUUUUUUUUUACUAUCUGUGACACAAUGACUGUUAACAAGCACUAUGCCGUGUUCAGUUGGCUGAUGCAGUCUGCCGUUCUAGCAAUACAGGUCCUAUUUUGCGUUUACCUUGAGCGUUUCUCAAUAUGCCAUUGAGCGGAAUUCAUCUUAAACCACCUUCCUGAGGCCUGAGCUGAGACCUGUUGCUGCCCUCGUCAGAUGUCCACCGGGCUGCCGAUAGCUGCCAUGGUAACUCCCUUGACGCCGGGGACAGAUGAGGGUUGGCCAUCGGAUCAACAUUGGCUAGCAGCGUUUACCAGCCACCAACUUCCAUCUAUAAGUACAACAACUUUCCUGGACCACAACACCAUGUUCGCAUCGCUAGGUCAAGCUGAGCUAGGCUGAGCUCAUGGAUUCCUCCCUUGCAUUCCAUUUCAUUAUUCCAUUCAUUUUUAUAUUUUAUUUUUUUACAUUUUUAUUAUUUAUUAUCUAGUAUGUAUCGUCACCCAUUGCGUUGCUUUGAUUGUCCUGAUAUGUAUUGUUAGCACUGUCCUGUCAUGUUGCACUGUUUGUUGAAACGCACGUUGGAUCGCUGAGACAAAUUCCUAUAAUGUUCGCAUUAAUGGCGAUAAAUGGUAACAUUAAAUAGCUGUGUCCAAGAAGAACCAUGAGGCAAAUAUUCCAUAAGGUGAACUUUUUAUGUUAAGUUAUUUCGAUAAAUAAAAGGCAGUAAUUGUAGCAGUAAUUGUACCAAUGACCAUUCGUUCAUUAAUUCAUUCACAAAUGGAAACAACACUGAUCAACCAUAAAAACCUUAUAAAAAAAAAGAAAGAAAUAUGAAAUAAAAAACAUUACAAAACAAUAAGGAAUUACAGAAUAAUGCAUGAGGCAAUAAGACACUUCUAGUCCUCACUGUCGGUGUCCGGACAGUUGUCAUGUUCCUUUUCCUCUGUGUCUUUUGUUUUUGCACAAUUGGUACAAUGACACAAGUCAGUGCAACACAGUCCUGCAGAGAAACAGGAACAUCUGCUUUUCUCACAGGCAUUCUCCUUGCAGCUGCAGUAUAUCACAU
ensembl:lncRNA